rnacentral:rRNA from 1 species
UACGUAGGGUGCAAGCGUUGUCCGGAAUUAUUGGGCGUAAAGAGCUCGUAGGCGGUCUGUCGCGUCGGCUGUGAAAACCCGGAGCUCAACUCCGGGCCUGCAGUCGAUACGGGCAAACUGGAGUGUUGCAGGGGAGACUGGAAUUCCUGGUGUAGCGGUGAAAUGCGCAGAUAUCAGGAGGAACACCGGUGGCGAAGGCGGGUCUCUGGACCAGUACUGACGCUGAGGCACGAAAGCGUGGGGAGCAAACAGG